UUCGUUUGGUUAUAAAAAUUAUAAAAAUGUAACGUAAUAAUAGGAAGUAUUUGUUGGGAGGAAUAUCGAAUCAGUUUAUAAAUUCCAGCGUCUGUUUGAUUAUACCCGCCUGUAUUGCAAGAUAAAAAUAUGAAGUAUGACGUAACGUAAUAACACGAAACACCUGUUAGGAAGAAUAUCAAAUUAGCUCAUAAAUUCCUGCGUCUGUUUGAUUAUAUCGGCCUGUAUUGUAAGAUAAAAAUAUGAUGUAUGACGUAACGUAAUAACACGAAACACCUGUCAGGAAGAAUAUCAAAUUAGUUCAUAAAUUUUUGCGUUCGUUUGAUUACAAGAUAAAAAUAUG
rnacentral:misc_RNA from 1 species